rnacentral:rRNA from 1 species
AGUGUUCAAAGCAGGCAGAUCCAAUUUUCUGCCACCGAAUACAUUAGCAUGGGAUAAUGGAAUAGGACCCUGUCCUCCUAUUUUCAGUUGGUUUUGCACGCGAGGACCAGGGUAAUGAUUAAUAGGGAUAGUUGGGGGCAUUAAUAUUUAAUUGUCAGAGGUGAAAUUCUUGGAUUUAUGAAAGAUUAACUUCUGCGAAAGCAUCUGCCAAGGAUGUUUUCAUUAAUCAAGAACGAAAGUUAGGGGAUCGAAGACGAUCAGAUACCGUCGUAGUCUUAACCAUAAACGAUGCCGACCAGCGAUUAGGAGACGUUGAAUACAAAACACCACCCAUCGGCCGCCCAAUGGCCGUCGUCCGGCUCGUCCGGGUGGCGGUCAUCGGGCGCUCGAUGGGCACCGGUGAAUGACUCCCCUAGCAGCUUGUGAGAAA